GCACUCACAAUGUCGGCGUGUGGCACCAGUGAGCCUGUACAUGCAGUAGCUGAUUCCACAAACACAGCGCAGCCCCAAGACACUGUAGAUUGUGCAGAUGAAGGACUACUCACAAUGCCUGCAGCAAGUGAGACUGCUGCUCCCUCUGAAGAGAAAAAUGCUGCUCAAUCCCACAAUUCCC